rnacentral:rRNA from 1 species
UACGUAGGGGGCGAGCGUUGUCCGGAUUUAUUGGGCGUAAAGAGCGUGUAGGCGGUUCGGUAAGUCUGUCGUGAAAUCCUGAGGCUCAACCUCGGGCGUGCGAUGGAUACUGCCGGGCUAGAGGAUGGUAGAGGCGAGUGGAAUUCCCGGUGUAGCGGUGAAAUGCGCAGAUAUCGGGAGGAACACCAGCGGCGAAGGCGGCUUUCUGGUCCGAUUCUGACGCUGAGGCGCGAAAGCGUGGGGAGCGAGUCCGG